UACGGAAGGUCCGGGCGUUAUCCGGAUUUAUUGGGUUUAAAGGGUGCGUAGGCGGACUAUUAAGUCAGUGGUGAAAGCCUGCAGCUUAACUGCAGAACUGCCAUUGAUACUGAUAGUCUUGAGUUUGGUUAAGGUAGGCGGAAUGUGUAAUGUAGCGGUGAAAUGCUUAGAUAUUACACAGAACACCAAUUGCGUAGGCAGCUUACUGAGCCGACACUGACGCUGAGGCACGAAAGCGUGGGGAUCGAACAGGAUUAGAUA
rnacentral:rRNA from 1 species